UACGGGGGGGGCAAGCGUUGUUCGGAAUUACUGGGCGUAAAGGGUUCGUAGGUGGCUCGCUAAGUCAGACGUGAAAUCCCUCAGCUUAACUGGGGAACUGCGUCUGAGACUGGCAAGCUUGAGUGCAGGAGAGGAAUGCGGAAUUCCAGGUGUAGCGGUGAAAUGCGUAGAUAUCUGGAGGAACACCGGUGGCGAAGGCGGCGUUCUGGACUGCAACUGACACUGAGGAACGAAAGCCAGGGGAGCAAACGGG
rnacentral:rRNA from 1 species